UACGAGAGGCCCAAACGUUAUUCGGAAUUACUGGGCUUAAAGAGUUCGUAGGCGGCAUGAAAAGUAGGGUGUGAAAGCCCUCGGCUCAACCGAGGAAUUGCGCUCUAAACUGUCGUGCUCGAGGAACCUAGAGGUGAGCAGAACUGAUGGUGGAGCGGUGAAAUGCGUUGAUAUCAUCAGGAAUACCGGAGGCGAAGGCGGCUCACUGGGGGUUUUCUGACGCUGAGGAACGGAAAGCCAGGGGAGCGAACGGG
rnacentral:rRNA from 1 species